rnacentral:lncRNA from 1 species
CCCCGGUGGCCACAAUGACCGCCAGCAGACCGGUGACACCUUUGGGCAGCAAGGACACACCGACACGGCGACACAUGGCACCCCGUCCACUGGCGGCACCUACGGGCAGCACGAACACACCGGAGUGACCGAUAAGGGAACACAGGGCACCGGUGGCAUCGACAAGAAGAAGGAUGCCAUGGAGAACAUCAAGGAGAAGCUCCCCGGUGGUCAUGGUGACCACCAGCAGACCGCUGGCACCUACGGGCAGCAUGGACACACUGGAAUGACCGGCACGGAGACGCAUGGAACCACGGCCACCGACGGCGGGCAGCAAGGACACAACGAAACAACUGGCACUGGGACACACGGCACCGACGGGACCGGUGAGAAGAAGAGCUUCAUGGACAAGAUCAAGGAGAAGCUGCCUGGACUGAACUAAGCCCGGUCUGCCUACGGCCGCUACCUUUGCAGAAUAAUACUCCACCGCAUAUAAAUUGAUUGAGUCUAGUUCACCUAGCUCACUUGGUCGUUGGAGAAGCGAAUGUAUCUUGGUUUAAGUUUUCAUGGACAACAUGUGUUCACAGUUUUUUUUUCUUUUUAACAUUGUCGUGCAAAUUUCCUUCUGGUUCAACCCAUGUAUGUAUGCUAUGAUGCCUAUGGCAUCUAAUAUAUCAGUAUAAUAAAGUUACUAAGCUUCCAGAAAUUAGAGCCUCGUGGUUGAACGUGGCAUAUGAG